rnacentral:misc_RNA from 1 species
GGGGACCCUAUCAAGAUGAACU